rnacentral:rRNA from 1 species
GACGAACGCUGGCGGCGUGCUUAACACAUGCAAGUCGAACGGAAAGGCCCUGCUUUUGUGGGGUGCUCGAGUGGCGAACGGGUGAGUAACACGUGAGUAACCUGCCCUUGACUUUGGGAUAACUUCAGGAAACUGGGGCUAAUACCGGAUAGGAGCUCCUGCUGCAUGGUGGGGGUUGGAAAGUUUCGGCGGUUGGGGAUGGACUCGCGGCUUAUCAGCUUGUUGGUGGGGUAGUGGCUUACCAAGGCUUUGACGGGUAGCCGGCCUGAGAGGGUGACCGGCCACAUGGGGACUGAGAUACGGCCCAGACUCCUACGGGAGGCAGCAGUGGGGAAUAUUGCACAAUGGGCGGAAGCCUGAUGCAGCAACGCCGCGUGCGGGAUGACGGCCUUCGGGUGGUAAACCGCUUUCGCCUGUGACGAAGCGUGAGUGACGGGAAUGGGUAAGAAGCACCGGCUAACUACGUG